GACAGAGGUCCCGAGCGUUAGGCGGAAUCACUGGGCUUAAAGCGUGUGUAGGCGGACUUGUAAGUACCUUGUGAAAUCCCACGGCUUAACCGUGGAACUGCUUGGUAUACUGCUUGUCUUGGGCCAUCUAGGGGCUAGCGGAACAAACGGUGGAGCGGUGAAAUGCGCAGAUAUCAGGAGGAACACCGGUGGCGAAGGCGGGUCUCUGGGCCGAUACUGACGCUGAGGAGCGAAAGCGUGGGGAGCGAACAGG
rnacentral:rRNA from 1 species